AGAGUUUGAUCAUGGCUCAGAACGAACGCUGGCGGCAGGCCUAACACAUGCAAAUCGAGCGCACCUUCCGGUGAGCGGCGGACGGGUUAGUAGCGCGUGGGAACGUACCCUUUUCUACGGAAUAGCCUUUGGAAACGAAGAGUAAUACCGUAUACGCCCUUUGGGGGAAAGAUUUAUCGGAGAAGGAUCGGCCCGCGUUAGAUUAGAUAGUUGGUGGGGUAACGGCCUACCAAGUCUACGAUCUAUAGCUGGUUUUAGAGGAUGAUCAGCAACACUGGGACUGAGACACGGCCCAGACUCCUACGGGAGGCAGCAGUGGGGAAUCUUAAACAAUGGGGCGCAAGCCCUAAUCUAACCCU
rnacentral:rRNA from 1 species